rnacentral:rRNA from 1 species
UACGAGGGGGGCGAGCGUUGUUCGGAAUUAUUGGGCGUAAAGGUGCGUAGGCGGUUUGGUAAGUCUGAUGUGAAAUCUAUGGGCUCAACUCAUAGUCUGCAUCGGAAACUGCCGGGCUUAGAGUAUGGGAGAGGUGAGUGGAAUUCCUGGUGUAGCGGUGGAAUGCGCAGAUAUCAGGAGGAACACCGAUGGCGAAGGCAGGUCACUGGGCCGCAACUGACGCUGAGGAGCGAAAGCAUGGGGAGCGAACAGG